CUCGCGCUCGUGCAGUUCCACCAGUACCAGGUGGUCGGGAGGGGCCUGCCGACGCCGACCGAGGAGCAUCCCAGGAUCUACCGCAUGAAGCUCUGGGCCACCAACGAGGUCCGCGCCUAGUCCAAGUUCUGGAAUCUGGAAGCCUCUCGAGAAUGCGUGAAGAAGAGCAACGGCCAGAUCCUCGCCUUCAACGAGUGUUACCUUCGUUCGAUCUGUAGAUUUUUGGUAUUCUGGUUGCCUUACCAAAGAAGGACUGGAUACAACAUGUACAAGGAGUACCGUGACACCACCCUUAAUGGCGCCGUCGAGCAGAUGUACACGGAGAUGGCUUCCCGCCACCGUGUCAGGCCCCCCUGCAUCCAGAUCAUCAAGACGGCCACUGUCCACUUCAACAUCUGCAGGCGUGAUAACACUAAGCAGUUUCACAGGUCGGACAUCAAGUUCCCGCUGGUCUACCAGAAGGUCAGGCCACCAAACAGGAAGCUGAAGACGGCCUUCAAGGCCUCGAGGCCAAACUUGUUCACGUGA
rnacentral:rRNA from 1 species